rnacentral:rRNA from 1 species
UACGGAGGGUGCAAGCGUUAUCCGGAUUCACUGGGUUUAAAGGGAGCGCAGGCGGAUUGGUAAGUCAGUGGUGAAGGGCUUGAGCUUAACUCGGGAACUGCCAUUGAUACUAUCAGUCUUGAAUAUUGUUGAGGUUUGCGGAAUGGGUCAUGUAGCGGUGAAAUGCAUAGAUAUGACCCGGAACACCUAUUGCGAAGGCAGCAGGCUAAACAAAGAUUGACGCUGAGGCUCGAAAGCGUGGGGAUCAAACAGG